CCGAAAUGGGGAAUUUUAUUCCAUAAUGGACCUUAGGUUAAAUUUUACUAUGUGAUUAAUUAAAUUAAAUGUGAGAGACAUUUAAUUUAAUUAAUUAAUGUUAAGUUUGGUGAUUAAAACUUAAUAAGAGUGAAAAAAUGUGUCAAAAGCCAAUUUGGACUUUUCUUCUUAUGAAACCUUUAUUAAAAAAAAAAAAAAAAUGAAAUGAUCAUAUAUGGCAUAAGGUGGCCGGCCAUGUGCUAUUUUAGGUGGUGUGAACCCAACUUAAUAAAGAUAAAAUCUCAUUUUAACUAAGUCAAGUCAAGUGGGCAAGUGGGAGGAAAACACUUGAGUGUUUUUGAGAUAAAUUAGAUAGUAUAUAACUCUUCCAUCCCUCCCCAACCGACCACACCACCCUCUCUCAUUCACUCAUCUGAUUUUUGAAGACCUCUCAAAGUGUUCUCUCCAUUUUUCAAGCCCAAGAACACCAAGGAAACUUUGAGGCUAAGUCUUGGUCUAGGAAGUAUUUUCCCUAAGUUUGUUAGGGUUUUUGAAAGGUUUUGGAGGAGCCAAAGCUAAUAGGAAGGUCCAAACCUUAAGCAAGAACACCAAAGAGGUAAGGGCAAGGGCAGGGCAGAGCAGUGAGCGCUGGAGUCUUCCUUGCAAAUGUACAUGUGGACCGACCUUUUGGGAAGCCUUUUUAUUUUUGGAAAUGUUGUGUAAUUUUCCUAAACUAGGCUCACUCUAAUCUUUGUAAAACAUGUUUGUAACUAAAUGUUAAGUAUGGCCAUACGACUUUUUAAAAAGUUUUUUUUCUAUGGGUUUUUGAGACAUUUUGUUAAAUGAAAACAUUUAUAUUUCC